rnacentral:misc_RNA from 1 species
UCAAACUUGGUCAUUUAGAGGAAGUAAAAGUCGUAACAAGGUUUCCGUAGGUAAGUUGAAAGCUUUCUAUCUUUUCUAUGCUUGUGAAUAACAUGCUGACUUUUUCCCUUUUAGGUGAACCUGCGGAAGGAUCAUUACAGAGUGUUUACCCCCUGUAAAAAGGGGGAUUAACCUCCCGUCCUUUGCUGGGCCCCCCCUUUGGAGGGCUUUUCAAAAUUUUCUGCUUCGGCGGGGUUUACCCGUCGGAACACCCUCAAAAUUCUUGGUUUAAAAUGGUUCAGUCCGAGAAGCUUUUGUAAAAAUUAGCGAAAAACUUUCAACAACGGAUCUCUUGGUUCUGGCAUCGAUGAAGAACGCAGC